UACGGGGGGAGCAAGCGUUGUUCGGAUUUACUGGGCGUAAAGGGCGCGUAGGCGGCCACCGCAAGUCAGUUGUGAAAUCUCCGGGCUUAACUCGGAAAGGUCAACUGAUACUGUGCGACUAGAGUGCAGAAGGGGCAACUGGAAUUCUCGGUGUAGCGGUGAAAUGCGUAGAUAUCGAGAGGAACACCUGCGGCGAAGGCGGGUUGCUGGGCUGACACUGACGCUGAGGCGCGAAAGCCAGGGGAGCAAACGGG
rnacentral:rRNA from 1 species